CGUAGUGANUGCGGAGGNNCAUUAUCGUACAACCGAGGUGCGGAGGGCUGUCGCUGACNUUUGUCGUGCACGCCCAAAGUGCUCUCAAACAAUAUCCAUCUCACCCAUUUGUGCAUCAUCGCGUGGGUCCUGCUUUUUGGCUUGUCCCAAGGAGGGGGGCUCGCGUUUUCACACAAACACCCUUUUAAUGCAGUGUAGAAUGUUCUUUUGCGAUGACUCGCAAUAAAUACAACUUUCAACAACGGAUCUCUUGGCUCUCGCAUCGAUGAAGAACGCAGCGAAAUGCGAUACGUAAUGUGAAUUGCAGAAUUCAGUGAAUCAUCGAAUCUUUGAACGCACCUUGCGCCCCUUGGCAUUCCGAGGGGCACACCCGUUUGAGUGUCGUGACAUUCUCAAAAAGAACCCUUCUUGGUCUUGCGAUCGGGAAAGGCUUUUUUUUGGACUUUGGAGGUUAUUGCUGGUCCCCCCUUGAUAGCCAGCUCCUCUUANANGAAUUAGUAGGGACCGCUUUGCUGACCCUAGACGUGAUAAGAUGUUUCUGCGUCUUGGG
rnacentral:misc_RNA from 1 species